rnacentral:rRNA from 1 species
UACGUAGGGUGCAAGCGUUAAUCGGAAUUACUGGGCGUAAAGCGUGCGCAGGCGGUUAUGUAAGACAGAUGUGAAAUCCCCGGGCUCAACCUGGGAACUGCAUUUGUGACUGCAUCGCUGGAGUGCGGCAGAGGGGGAUGGAAUUCCGCGUGUAGCAGUGAAAUGCGUAGAUAUGCGGAGGAACACCGAUGGCGAAGGCAAUCCCUGGGCCUGCACUGACGCUCAUGCACGAAAGCGUGGGAGCAAACAGG